rnacentral:sRNA from 1 species
GCUUCUAAGCUAUGCGUAUAAGCAUGAGACUUCUGGCUUCUUCCUUGGAAGUACUUUCCACAAACAAGGCAUGCAUAUACAUUCAGAUUGGACAAGGACACAGAGCAAAACCUCUCAAAAUGAAAAUCCAACACCUGAAAUUCAACCAUAAGAUAUGAGUUUAAACGCUAAUCUGAUAGAUAUGGACUCAACGGAUACUAAGAACAAGAGUAAAAACAGAGUAAACUAAUUCUAUUGCGCCGUUUUUGACGGAGAACAAGAUGAGAAGAGAAUUAAUAACUUUAAUGUUAUAAGUUUUGAUGAUUGUUUUUGGUAAGGUUGCCCUAAAGAGGCAAAGACCUUUAAAUACAACUCGAAAUAGACAAAAUGCUGAGUUUAAUAAAAGAUAGAGAGAUGGUGAAAGACUCUAGAUGAACAAGAGUCUUUCUAUGCCUUCUUCUUUCCUUCGUCUCUUAGCCACUUUUCUUCAAGACCUUUUUCAAAUACUUCUCCAUAGCUUUAGCUUUUCUCCCGCCAGUUCUCAUUCUCUUUCUCAUAGUAGCUAGUGGAACCCUUAGCCUAUCAAUGCUCCCUCGCAGAAGACCGAUCUUGUCCUCAAGAUCGAAGCUCGGGAAUUGCUUCACUAGAGUCACUAAUGGCUCCCACGUUGCCUCCAAAGCUGACAUGCCACUCCAUUGAACCAAGACGUCGGCACCGUCUGUUGUUCUACUCUGUCUGAUAUCCAGAAGCUUUUCUGGCUCCGUCGCCCACUCUAAAGAAGGAGUCACAAUCUUGGGCAGUUCUUGAGCAGUGAAAGAGGGAGGAACCGCUGGUUUCAGCUGGGACACAUGGAACACCGGAUGAAUUUGACUGUAAUCCGGUAGCCUGAGUUUGUAUGCGACCUUACCAAUCUUGCUAAUCACCUGGUAGGGUCCAUAGUAUCGCUGCGAGAGCUUCUCGUUUUUUCUGUGUACCAACGACCCUUGUCGAUACGGCCUCAGUUUUAAGUAGACCAAAUCGCCCUCCUUGAACUCAACAUCUCUCCUGUGUUUGUCCGCGACUUUCUUCAUUUGUUUCUGAGCUAGCUCCAAGUUUUCUCUCAGCUCUAGCAACAACCCAUCUCUGUCCUUGAGUAAUUCUUCGACGACUGCAUUUGCUGUAGGUGUGUCCCCAUAUCUGAGAAUUGCUGGGGGCUCUCUUCCAUAAACCGCCAUGAAUGGGGUCGUCUUUGUUGCAGUGUGAUAAGAGGUGUUAUACCAGUACUCGGCCCAAGGUAGCCAUUGCAUCCAAGAAGAGGGUCGUCGGCCUGCAAAGCAUCUCAAAAAUGACUCCAAGCACCUAUUAACAACUUCUGUCUGCCCAUCCGUUUGGGGGUGGUAGGCAGUACUCUUUCUCAAUUCAGUGCCGUGUAUCUUGAAUAAUUCAGACCAGAAGGUGCUGAGGAAGACCUUGUCUCUAUCAGACACCAUUGUAGUUGGAAACCCAUGCAACUUAACAACAUCUCUUAUAAAGGCCUCUGCUACCACCUUUGCAGUAAACGGGUGCUUCAACGGAAUAAAGUGACUGUAUUUGCUUAGCCUAUCCACGACCACCAAGAUGCAGUUGAAUCCUUUCGAAGACGGUAAUCCUUGUACAAAAUCCAAGCUAAUAUCGCUCCAAAUCUGUUGUGGAAUGGGGAAUGGGGAGAGCAAACCCGCGGGUGACAAGGUGGAGUACUUGUUCUCUUGACAGAUUUGGCAUCCUCGAAUGUAUUCCACUGUAUCUUUUCGCAUGCCCUUCCAAUAGACCUCACUAGUGAGUCUCUUGAAAGUCUUCAACGCUCCUUCGUGGCCACCCAUUGCACUAGUGUGAAACUUCUCUAGUAGCUUUGGAAUGAAGGGAGAUCCUGUAGGGAUAACCAAGGCUCCCUUCCUGUAAACCAACCCAGCUUUCACUGAAAAUUCAGAUUCUGUACUCUGCCCUUGUUGCCAAGUAUCAACCAACUGACGCAACUCUUUAUCAGCCAUGAUUUCUUCUUUUAAAGCGCCAAUAUCUAUUGUUUGUGGAGCCGUUAAGGUGAACUGAGCAAACCUUUCCUGCGGUGGUUUCCUAGAGAGAGCAUCGGCCACUUUGUUGUCGACUCCAGGUUUGUAUUCUAUGCGAUACUUCAACCCACUUAGCUUAGAAGCCCAACGUUGUUGAAUAGUUGAUACAGACUUUUGUUCCAAGAGAUGCCUUAGACUUCUCUGAUCUGUCUUAAUAACAAACUCCUUGCUGGACAGAUAAUGUUUCCACUUAGUCAUUGCUCUCACAAUCGCCAACAAUUCUCUUUCAUACACAGAUUUAAUCCGACCUUGACUUGAAAAUGCCUGGCUCAAGAACGCUAUAGGCCUUCUGUUUUGGGACAACACAGCCCCUAUUCCAACCCCAGAAGCGUCCGUCUCCACUGUAAACUCUUGAUUAAAGUCAGGUAAGACCAAUACUGGCAGAUUCGUGACUGCUUCCUUCAGUGCCUGAAACGCUUUUGUGGCU